CUUUCCGAGGAGCGUUGCAGCGGCCCGCCGUGUUCACGGUGCAGUCGCGAGGCUCGGAUUUAAUUGCAACGACGCUCGCCCACG
rnacentral:ncRNA from 2 species